AUGGAGACCGUCGCGGCCGCCGGCUACGCGCACGGGGCCGCCACGCGCUCCCCGGCGUGCUGCGCCGCCAUGUCCUUCUCGCAGUCCUACAGGCCCAAGGCUGCCAGGCCGGCGACCUCGUUCUACGGCGAGUCGCUGCGGGCGAACACGGCGAGGACGUCGUUCCCGGCGGGGCGGCAGUCCAAGGCGGCCAGCCGGGCGGCGCUCACCACCCGCUGCGCGAUCGGCGACAGCCUGGAGGAGUUCCUGACCAAGGCGACGCCGGACAAGAACCUCAUCAGGCUGCUGAUCUGCAUGGGGGAGGCGAUGAGGACGAUCGCCUUCAAGGUCCGGACGGCCUCCUGCGGCGGCACGGCCUGCGUCAACUCCUUCGGCGACGAGCAGCUCGCCGUCGACAUGCUCGCCGACAAGCUCCUCUUCGAGGCGUUGGAGUACUCCCAUGUGUGCAAGUACGCGUGCUCUGAGGAAGUCCCCGAGCUGCAGGACAUGGGUGGCCCGGUCGAAGGCGGAUUCAGUGUGGCGUUCGACCCCCUUGACGGCUCCAGCAUCGUGGACACCAACUUCACCGUGGGAACCAUCUUCGGCGUCUGGCCCGGCGACAAGCUGACCGGCGUCACCGGCGGUGACCAGGUUGCUGCCGCCAUGGGCAUCUACGGCCCUCGCACCACCUUCGUAGUUGCCCUCAAGGACUGCCCCGGGACACACGAAUUCCUUCUCCUCGACGAAGGUAAAUGGCAGCAUGUCAAGGACACCACGAGCAUCGGAGAAGGGAAGAUGUUCUCCCCUGGCAAUCUGAGGGCCACGUUCGACAACCCUGAUUAUGACAAGCUUGUCAACUACUAUGUGAAGGAGAAGUACACUCUGCGUUACACCGGAGGAAUGGUCCCUGAUGUCAACCAGAUCAUCGUGAAGGAGAAGGGCAUCUUCACGAACGUGACGUCGCCGACGGCGAAGGCGAAGCUGCGGCUGCUGUUCGAGGUGGCGCCGCUGGGGUUCUUGAUAGAGAAGGCCGGCGGGCACAGCAGCGACGGCAAGCAGUCGGUGCUGGACAAGGUGAUCUCCGUCCUGGACGAGCGGACCCAGGUGGCCUACGGCUCCAAGAACGAGAUCAUCCGCUUCGAGGAGACCCUCUACGGCUCCUCCAGACUCGCCGCCAGCGCCACCGUCGGCGCCACCGCCUAA
rnacentral:rRNA from 1 species